rnacentral:rRNA from 1 species
CCUACGGGAGGCAGCAGUGGGGAAUAUUGCACAAUGGGCGCAAGCCUGAUGCAGCCAUGCCGCGUGUGUGAAGAAGGCCUUCGGGUUGUAAAGCACUUUCAGCGGGGAGGAAGGCGGUGAGGUUAAUAACCUCAUCGAUUGACGUUACCCGCAGAAGAAGCACCGGCUAACUCCGUGCCAGCAGCCGCGGUAAUACGGAGGGUGCAAGCGUUAAUCGGAAUUACUGGGCGUAAAGCGCACGCAGGCGGUCUGUCAAGUCGGAUGUGAAAUCCCCGGGCUCAACCUGGGAACUGCAUUCGAAACUGGCAGGCUAGAGUCUUGUAGAGGGGGGUAGAAUUCCAGGUGUAGCGGUGAACUGCGUAGAGAUCUGGAGGAAUACCGGUGGCGAAGGCGGCCCCCUGGACAAAGACUGACGCUCAGGUGCGAAAGCGUGGGGAGCAAACAGGAUUAGAUACCCGUGUAGUC